UACAGAGGUCUCAAGCGUUGUUCGGAUUCAUUGGGCGUAAAGGGUGCGUAGGCGGCGGGGUAAGUCUGAUGUGAAAUCUCGGAGCUCAACUCCGAAAUUGCACUGGAUACUGCUCUGCUAGAGGGCUGGAGAGGAGAUCGGAAUUCACGGUGUAGCAGUGAAAUGCGUAGAUAUCGUGAGGAAGACCAGUGGCGAAGGCGGAUCUCUGGACAGCUCCUGACGCUGAGGCGCGAAGGCUAGGGGAGCAAACGGG
rnacentral:rRNA from 1 species